rnacentral:rRNA from 1 species
UAUAGAAUCUACCUUGUACUAGGGGAUAGCCUUUGGAAACGAAGAUUAAUACCCUAUAGUAAGUAUUUAUGGCAUCAUUUAUACUUUAAAGGUUACGGUACAAGAUGACUAUGCGUCCUAUUAGUUUGUUGGUGAGGUAACGGCUCACCAAGACUUCGAUAGGUAGGGGCCCUGAGAGGGGGAUCCCCCACACUGGUACUGAGACACGGACCAGACUCCUACGGGAGGCAGCAGUGAGGAAUAUUGGACAAUGGAGGCAACUCUGAUCCAGCCAUGCCGCGUGCAGGAUGACGGCCCUAUGGGUUGUAAACUGCUUUUAUGUAGGAAGAAACACUCUCACGUGUGAGAGCUUGACGGUACUACAAGAAUAAGGACCGGCUAACUCCGUGCCAGCAGCCGCGGUAAUACGGAGGGUCCAAGCGUUAUCCGGAAUCAUUGGGUUUAAAGGGUCCGUAGGCGGGCUAUUAAGUCAGAGGUGAAAGUUUGCAGCUCAACUGU